rnacentral:rRNA from 1 species
GACGAACGCUGGCGGCGUGCUUAACACAUGCAAGUCGAACGGGCCUUGUCCCCUUUUUUUUGGGGGUGGGGUUAGUGGCGAACGGGUGAGUAACACGUGAGUAACCUGCCCCUCACUUCUGGAUAACCGCUUGAAAGGGUGGCUAAUACGGGGUGUCCUGGCCUGCUCGCAUGGGUGGGUUUGGAAAGAUUCGACCGGUUUUGGUUGUUUUGGUGGGGGAUGGGCUCGCGGCCUAUCAGCUUGUUGGUGGGGUGAUGGCCUGCCAAGGCUUUGACGGGUAGCCGGCCUGAGAGGGUGGGCGGUCACACUGGGACUGAGACACGGCCCAGACUCCUACGGGAGGCAGCAGUGGGGAAUAUUGCACAAUGGGCGCAAGCCUGAUGCAGCGACGCCGCGUGAGGGAUGGAGGCCUUCGGGUUGUGAACCUCUUUCGCCAGUGAAGAAGGUCCUGCUCUUUGUGGUGGGGUUGACGGUAGCGGGGUUAAUGAAGCGCCGGCUAACUACGUG